CAGAGUCAAUGACAUAAGAUUCACAAAGUUCUGGCCACAUCGUGCAACAGAUAUUCCUGAUCUCUCCCUUUAAUUGGGCCAGGCACUGCUGGAUUGAGAUGUGGCCACUAGGGUGACUGAUCCAGGACACCCUCAGCCAAGGCACCACUGGACCAUCUUUUCUCCUUUUGAAGAGGCUAGAAAGGAAUUGCCUGAGACACUGCCCCAAAAUAGGAUGGCAGGAAAGUUCACAAAGCCAGUUGGAAUACGUGAUCUCAUCAACCACAUGUAUAGGAGGGUGCUGUCCCCAUUCUGCAGAUGAUGAAAACGAGGCUACAGGAGAUGAAGUCACUUGCCUAAAGCUACAUAGUCACACAUCAUGCGCAGCACAGCACAGCAGACCUUGCCCAGGCCUGUCAGUCUUUACCUCUGGAGUUAGGAAAAGUCCUUCUUUUUUGCAAAACAAGACUGGCCAAAUUCGCUACUGCUUCAGAAAAGGAAAAGUAGCCCUGGACCCUGUCCACAGAUUGUUUCCCCUUCUGGG
rnacentral:lncRNA from 1 species